GUAUGUAGUAGAGAUGUUAGUCGUGGUUAAAUUUGACAGACACGUUCCAUUUUUCCAAGUCCACUGAAUGUUAGGCUCUUUGUAGCUGUCAAGCUUUACAACACAUUGGUAAACGUCUCCACCAUUCGGGCGAGUCUCUCUGUGCUGAGAAAUAUGUGUCCC